UGAGGAAUUUUGCGCAAUGGGGGAAACCCUGACGCAGCGACGCCGCGUGGAGGACGAAGGCCUUCAGGUCGUAAACUCCUGUCAAGUGGGACGAAUCCCGGUCGGAUGAAUAAGCCGGCCGGUUGACGGUACCACUGAAGGAAGCCCCGGCUAACUCCGUG
rnacentral:rRNA from 1 species